rnacentral:rRNA from 1 species
AUAUCAAUAAGCGGAGGAAAAGAAACCAACAGGGAUUGCCUUAGUAACGGCGAGUGAAGCGGCAAUAGCUCAAAUUUGAAAUCUGGCUCCUUUUGGUGUCCGAGUUGUAAUUUGUAGAGGAUGUUUCGGUAUUGGCUCUAAUCUAAGUCCCUUGGAACAGGGUGUCGUAGAGGGUGAGAGUCCCGUUUGCGAUUAGCCGCCUUUGCCAUGUGAAACUCCUUCGACGAGUCGAGUUGUUUGGGAAUGCAGCUCUAAUUGGGAGGUAAAUUUCUUCUAAAGCUAAAUACUGGCCAGAGACCGAUAGCGCACAAGUAGAGUGAUCGAAAGAUGAAAAGCACUUUGGAAAGAGAGUUAAAAAGUACGUGAAAUUGUUGAAAGGGAAGCGCUUGCAAUCAGACCUGCUUGCAGUUGUUCAUCUAGACUUUUUAAUCUAGUGCAUUCUUCUGUAAGUCAGGCCAGUAUCAGUUUGGGCGGUUGGAUAAAGACUUCAGGAAUGUAGCUCCUCUUGGGGAGUGUUAUAGCCUGUUUUGCAAUGCAGCCAGCCCAGAUUGAGGACCGCGCUUCGGCUAGGAUACUGGCGUAAUGGUUGUAAGCGGCCCGUCUUGAAACACGGACCAAGGAGUCUAACAUCUGUGCGAGUGUUCGGGUGUUAAACCCGUGCGCGUAAUGAAAGUAAACGGAGGCGGGAACCUUUUAGGUGCACCGUCGACCGAUCCUGAUGUCUUCGGAUGGAUUUGAGUAAGAGCAUAGCUGUUGGGACCCGAAAGAUGGUGAACUAUGCUUGAAUAGGGUGAAGCCAGAGGAAACUCUGGUGGAGGCUCGCAGCGGUUCUGACGUGCAAAUCGAUCGUCAAAUUUGGGCAUAGGGCGAAAGACUAAUCGAACUAUCUAGUAGCUGGUUCCUGC